AUGGAUGGCUGUUCCUUUAUAUGGAGUAAACACAAGCCAAGACUAAAGAUGGCAAUAUUGCAGCUGCCAAGUUCUAUGGGCGGCUUGGACCUGCCCAAUAUCAGGUUCUAUCAAUGGUGUGGCCACCUUUGUUAUAUUUCUGACUGGAUCGCAAAUGAUGACUCCUCUAUUUGGUUAGACAUUGAGACUUCUCUUUCAAAAUACCCCUUACAGGAUCUUUUAUUUUUCAGAAGUUUCAAGUCUGUAGAAGAUCACUGCAAUAAUCCCGUUACACUUAACACACUCAAGGUAUGGAGGUCAGUUCAACACUUCCUGGGAAGGUCCAAACUAACCUCUGCUCUUACCCCAAUUCUUAACAACCCAGAUUUUAGUCCAGGAUUGCUGCAUGCUGGCUUUAACUUUUGGCUUAAUAAGGGCAUACGCAGACUAAAUGACUUAUUUGCUGAUAAGAUUUUAUUGUCAUUUGAGCAGAUGGUCGAGAAAUAUCGACUCACAAAGCAGGACUUUUUCCACUUCCUACAAGUAAGACAUUAUAUUCUGAAGAGCACCACCUUAAUUGGUAACCCUGAUGUGUCUGUCAUUGAAAGAAUGCUUUAUGAUACUUAUGAUACUUUAAGGUCCUUUUCUGCUGUCAACACACAGAGGGUGAAACAAGUGUGGGAGAAAGAAUUGUCUGUUACUAUUGACGAAGAGAUGUGGGAGGACAUUUGGAGAUAUGCAAAAACAAUAUCUAUAUGUAAUUGUACUAGAGCAAUCCAAUUAAGAAUAAUACACAGAUUGCAUAUAUCCCCAAAUCACAGACAUGCUUUUAGCCCCACUUCCUCUUCCCCUCAGUGUCUUAAAUGCAAAACUGAUACAGGCACCCUAACACAUUGUUUAUGGUCAUGUACCAAAAGAUACUGGUCUGGUGUUCUGCAAGAAAUUGAAAAGAUCCUAGGGGUUGAUCUAGAAUUGGACCCAGUUUCUUUACUGUUAGGUCUCCGUAGUAGGCAUGUUACUUCUGUGGGUAAAAGGAGGCUUUACAACAUCCUUACCUUCGCAGCGAGGAAAAACAUCAUUUUACAGUGGAUUAGUGAUAAGGUUCCUUCUAUUAAAGAUUGGCAUAAGAUACUAUUUGAAUGGGUGCCUCUGGAAUAUCUGACAUGUACAUGCAUUCUAAAACAGACCAGUUCUACAAAGUAUGGGAACCUUGUCUAA
rnacentral:lncRNA from 1 species